rnacentral:rRNA from 1 species
GGGGAAUUUUGGACAAUGGGGGCAACCCUGAUCCAGCCAUCCCGCGUGUGCGAUGAAGGCCUUCGGGUUGUAAAGCACUUUUGGCAGGGAAGAAAAGGCUCUGGUUAAUACCUGGAGCUGCUGACGGUACCUGCAGAAUAAGCACCGGCUAACUACGUGCCAGCAGCCGCGGUAAUACGUAGGGUGCAAGCGUUAAUCGGAAUUACUGGGCGUAAAGCGUGCGCAGGCGGUUCGGCAAGAAGGAUGUGAAAUCCCGGGGCUUAACCUCGGAACUGCAUUCUUAACUGCCGGGCUAGAGUAUGUCAGAGGGGGGUAGAAUUCCACGUGUAGCAGUGAAAUGCGUAGAGAUGUGGAGGAAUACCGAUGGCGAAGGCAGCCCCCUGGGAUAAUACUGACGCUCAUGCACGAAAGCGUGGGGAGCAAAC